rnacentral:tRNA from 1 species
GCCUGCGUAGCCCAACUGGCAAGAGGCGGUCGUCUUAAGAACGACAAAGUGGAGGUUCGAAUCCUCUCGCAGGCA